rnacentral:rRNA from 1 species
UACGAAGGGGGCUAGCGUUGCUCGGAAUGACUGGGCGUAAAGCGCACGUAGGCGGAUUGCUAAGUCAGGGGUGAAAUCCUGGAGCUCAACUCCAGAACUGCCCCUUGAUACUGGCGGUCUUGAGUCCGGGAGAGGUGAGUGGAACUGCGAGUGUAGAGGUGAAAAUUCGUAGAUAUUCGCAAGAACACCAGUGGCGAAGGCGGCUCACUGGCCCGGUACUGACGCUGAGGUGCGAAAAGCGUGGG